GUUGGGCGACCGCGUCAGGUGCAAAUCUGCCGAGGAAAGUCCGGGCUCCACGGAACGCGGUGCCGGGUAACGCCCGGCGGGGGUAACCCCAGGGAAAGCGCCACAGAGAAGAGACUGCCCUUGCCGCGAACGGAGGUUCGCCUUCGCAAGCGUCAAGGGUAACGGUGAAACGGUGGGGUAAAAGCCCACCGCGGGACUGGCAACAGGACCGGCACGGCAAGCCCCACCCGGAGCAACGCCAAAUAGGGGCCUCGCGGCAGGACUGGUCCCGGAAACGGGAUACCGCUCGCCAGGGACGCCAACGCCCGAGAGGCCCGGGUUGGCAGCUUGACCGCCGUGGUGACACGGUUGGCAGAGGAAUGGUCAUCCAGCCCCGGAUCACGGUCCGGGGGGGACAGAAUCCGGCUUACAGGCUCUC
rnacentral:RNase_P_RNA from 1 species